rnacentral:rRNA from 1 species
AGUGAACGCUGGCGGCGUGCCUAACACAUGCAAGUCGAACGAUGAUGAUGGAGCUUGCUCUAUCUGAUUAGUGGCGCACGGGUGAGUAAUGCAUAGAUAAUGUGCCCCUUAGUUCGGGAUAGCCACUGGAAACGGUGAUUAAUACCGGAUACUCCUUCUUGUCUCAAGGCAAGUCGGGAAAGUUUUUCGCUAAGGGAUCAGUCUAUGUUCCAUCAGGUAGUUGGUGAGGUAAUGGCUCACCAAGCCUAUGACGGAUAUCUGGUUUGAGAGGAUGAUCAGACACAAUGGAACUGAGACACGGUCCAGACUCCUAGGGGAGGCAGCAGUGAGGAAUAUUGCACAAGGGAGGAAGCUGUGAUGCAGCAGCGCCGGGUGGAGGAUGACGCAUUUCGGUGUGUAAACUCCUCUUAUUAGGGAAGAUAAUGACGGUACCUAAUGAAAAAGCACCGGCUAACCCCGUGCCAGCCGCCGCCGUAA